GCGAGCGGAGGAGCGGACCAGCGAGCGGGCGGCCGCAGCCUCGGGACGGAGGCCGGCCGAGCCGGCGUGCGCACUUUGCGGCGGACUUUGCGAGUGUUUUGUGGAUUUGUACCCGCCGAGCCGCCAAGAUGAUGUCCAUGAACAGCAAGCAGCCUCACUUUGCCAUGCAUCCCACCCUCCCCGAGCACAAGUACCCGUCGCUACACUCCAGCUCCGAGGCCAUCCGGCGGGCCUGCCUGCCCACGCCGCCGCUGCAGAGCAACCUCUUCGCCAGCCUGGACGAGACGCUGCUGGCGCGGGCCGAGGCGCUGGCGGCCGUGGACAUCGCGGUGUCCCAGGGCAAGAGCCACCCUUUCAAGCCGGACGCCACGUACCACACGAUGAACAGCGUGCCCUGCACGUCCACGUCCACCGUGCCGCUGGCGCACCACCACCACCACCACCAUCACCACCAGGCGCUCGAGCCCGGUGACCUGCUGGACCACAUCUCGUCGCCGUCGCUCGCGCUCAUGGCCGGCGCGGGGGGCGCGGGCGCGGCGGGCGGCGCCGGCGGCGCCCACGACGGCCCCGGGGGCGGAGGCGGCCCGGGGGGCGGCGGCGGCCCGGGCGGCGGCGGCCCCGGGGGCGGCGGCGGCGGUGGCCCGGGCGGUGGCGGCGGUGGCGGCGGCCCGGGCGGCGGGCUCUUGGGCGGCUCAGCGCAUCCGCACCCGCACAUGCACGGCCUGGGCCACCUGUCGCACCCCGCGGCCGCGGCCGCCAUGAACAUGCCGUCCGGGUUGCCGCAUCCCGGGCUCGUGGCGGCGGCGGCGCACCACGGCGCGGCGGCGGCGGCGGCGGCGGCGGCGGCCGGGCAGGUGGCGGCGGCGUCGGCGGCGGCGGCGGUGGUGGGCGCGGCGGGCCUGGCGUCCAUCUGCGACUCGGACACGGACCCGCGCGAGCUCGAGGCGUUCGCCGAGCGCUUCAAGCAGCGGCGCAUCAAGCUGGGCGUGACGCAGGCCGACGUGGGCUCGGCGCUGGCCAACCUCAAGAUCCCGGGCGUGGGCUCGCUCAGCCAGAGCACCAUCUGCAGGUUCGAGUCGCUCACGCUCUCGCACAACAACAUGAUCGCGCUCAAGCCCAUCCUGCAGGCGUGGCUGGAGGAGGCCGAGGGCGCGCAGCGUGAGAAAAUGAACAAGCCCGAGCUCUUCAACGGCGGCGAGAAGAAGCGCAAGCGGACUUCCAUCGCCGCGCCCGAGAAGCGCUCCCUCGAGGCCUAUUUUGCCGUACAACCCCGGCCCUCAUCUGAGAAGAUCGCCGCCAUCGCCGAGAAACUGGACCUCAAAAAGAACGUGGUGCGGGUGUGGUUUUGCAACCAGAGACAGAAGCAGAAGCGGAUGAAAUUCUCUGCCACUUACUGAGGAGGGUGUGAGACGCCGGGUGGGGCACGCUGGGGAGCUGAGGGGUGCGUUUCUGGGGCUCCCUCUGGCCUACUUCCCCUCAUUUAGAGUGUCUGUUAUCCUGCCUGCAUCUGGGGAGUUCCUUUUCUUGCCCUUCCCUCAGCCCCACUCCGCACCUGACCCUAACAGUCCCCCAGCCUAGUGUACAGGGGUGUGGGUGUGGAAAAGUUUGGGAUGGCAGGAGAGAAUGGGGGGCAGUUAGGUGAGCAGGGCGUGGGUGGGGGAAGAAAAGCAAAGACUGGAGCUGGGGGUUUGCAAGAAGCAGGAUGGUUCUGGGGACUAGGGUGGGAGGGAAAGAUGGGGGAAGAACUGGGGAUGGACAGUUAUCUUGACCAGAGACAUUUACAAAAAUCAUCUGGGGACCAAGGAACUAUGUAUAAAGAUGGAACUACCAACUAUCACCAAAAACAAAACAUAAAAUCCUAGACAAUAAAGUGUGUGUGUGGGGGGGGGCAAGACAAAGAAAGAUGCUUUAGGAAUUUAACUCCAAGGAGCAGUAUUCAGCAGCUUCGUUUACCCCCAAGGAAGAGAAAACAGCAAUACCAUUACUACCACCACCCCAACUUCCCAAGCACAAGUGAGUCAUCCAGGAAAACCAAACGACCUGGACCUUGAGCUUCUGGGGAGGAAGCUGGUUCCCUGUUUAACUUCACCUUCUAAAAUCUCACACCUGCACCCUCUUUGAUUAAUUUCCUCUUUUCCAAAGAGACUCCAAGGCUUGACUCCAGCUCAGCAGCUGGAGCUUAGCUUACAUGCGCUUGGGGAGACUGCCUGGUCAUUCACACCGAAUCUUCAUUUUCCAGGAGCCAAUGGCCACAGUCUUGUGGCCUGGUCUUGGUCAGGUCCCUGUCUCCCUCCCUUGGAGAACGUGAAGUUGUUGAAAAGCUGAGAAGUUUCUGCUUUCCUUUGGGGGCAGGAGUCCAUGUAAGAAAAACCACCUAAAAUCCCAGAAGAAAGGAAGAGAUUUAAAGAUUUAGAGCCCCUCCCACCGUGGUCGGUUCAGAUAGGUCUGCACUUACCUGGGGAAAGCACAAGAGGCUUCCCCUGUUGUUCUUGUUGUUAUUCGAGGAUCACUUAUUACUGGGGAUAAAUAUUGAGUCACAAAAAACUUCAAUUUGCACUAUGAGUUUCCAAAAUAGAAAAUCCUGUAUGGUAUUUCAUACUAAUAAUCCAAGCUGUUGAUGGAUUUUAAGGAAAAAAAAAUUGAGAAAGACAGUUUGAGAGAGGAAAAAACCUGAGAAAGUGGUUUAGUGAAAUGCCUGCUUUGUUGUGUACAAGAUACUGUUUGGAUCUCAUGUGGAGAUGGUUUGUUACUAUCAUUUAACCAUAACUAAAGACGAAAACGGAAGAGUUGAGGGGGGAAAACACUCUUUAACAAGACUGAAAUCAUGCAUGGUUCGAAAGGUGCAGAAAGAUGAUUAGGUCUCACUCUGGGUAGGCGUUGUUUAUUUAAUUAUGUUGUAUGUCAUUGUUUGCAGCACAAAACAUUCUAUGCAUUUGAAACUGAGCACUAAACUGGGCUAGCUUUCUGGUAGACCGUUUUGUGGAUAGUGUGAUUUCACAGUCUACUGCCUGUUUCCACUGAAAACACGACAUUAUUGUAAAUAUUUUCUUUCAUGCACAGGCUCACACAGUGGUUACAAACUGCCAGUGUUAAUCCUGAAUUGUCUCAUUGACUGAUCCUCCUGUCCAUGUUGUGUCUGCAGAGCUUUCUCCUUGGUUAUGUCUUUGCUCUAUUGCCCCCACCCCAACCCCACCCCACCCCAUCAGAACCAUUCCUGUGCGCCAACAUACAACAGGGAGAUGUGUCCCAGUCCACUUCCAAAUAAAACAUGACUGAAAGAAGAGCAGUUUUAUGAUCUGGGUGCAUUUUUGUGUUUACAUUGAGCCAAGUCCUGGUCAACAAAUGAGACAAGACAACCAAAACAAAACAAAACAAACCCCACAUCAAACAGAAAGCCUCAACCAAACAUUAAAAUCAAGCAAGAAGGGGAGAAAGGGGGUCAGCGGGAGUGAAAGAGUGAGAUUUAUUUAUUUAUUUCUAAAUGAGAAUUCAGUUUCAGAUAAGUCAUGGGAACUGGUGCUCUGAGUAAGAUGAAUUACUUGUCCAUUUUAUCAAAGUUUUAAUUUGAACUCCAGAAGCUCUUGAGCCGUCGUUGCUGCACUCCGUUCAGAGUGGUGAUGGAAAGCUGUAAAUAAUGAGGCUCCUGAAAGGCAUUUAAGUUGAAGGUCAGGGACACAGGCAUCUAGGGGUUUGAAUGUGCUGCUCUACUCUAAAAACACUUCUAAAAAUGUUGUAACUAAACGACUUUUUGUUGGCAGUUAAUAAAUUAUAAAAGUAUCCUUUGAUCUGCCCCAAUAACUUGUCAAAUGCUUCUCUUCAUUUAGAACAUUUUGCAUACCACCUAUUGCUUCAGAUUGACAAGAGAUUUCCUUUUUCUUUUUUCUUUUGGUGACCUGGAACUAGAUCAAAUGCCAAAUGUACAAACUUUCUUAAUAGUUGGGACUAUUCCUCUGAAGUCAUCCUAUUUUAGCUAAGCCUUUUUAACUUCACCGGCAUAUCUGUGAAAGAAAAGUGAUGUUCAGAAAAGAAUAGUACAUUUUAAAAAGGUGUGAUUUUAAAACAGUUGUUAAUAUUUUAAAAAGCACUAGAGGUAUUUUUAAAAAUAGAUCUCUUCCAUCAAAAUUGAUUUGUUUCUGUUAUUGACUUGAAAUAUCAUCAGAGUUUCUAAUAAAAUACAUUUGUAAAAGAACACAUUAUUUUAUAGAAAAGUAUGACCAGAUUUCAUUGUUGGAGAUCCAGGAAUGAACAAAUAAAAAGAUUUACGAAGGUUGUUUUUCUAAUAAUCUGCUCAAACAGAAAUGUUGCAGGCAAAUACAUUUGUAUUAUAUAAUAAUGGAUAAUGUAUGUAUUAAGAAUUUAAGCAUUUGUUUUGUAUUAAGUAAAUCCUUGCCCAGUACAAAAAGAAAGACUAUUACGUUAAUAAAACAUCAUGAAAACACAUCGCUUUGCAGGGUUUCCUAUUUUAUGUAGUAGGAAACUGUGCAAAUUUUUAAAAAAAGUUUUGCUUUCUAGUGAGUGGCUGUGUACAGGGCAGAAAGGAAUGAUAGAGCUCUCCUAAGACUCCUUUAGGUGUCAACCCAUUGAAAAUUUUAAAAUGAAACUCCUGAAGAGAAGGCAAUGGUUUGCUGAUCUGUAGGUGGUUUGGCUUUUCCAAGUUCUCUGGUUCAGAAAGUUGGGGGAAAUAUGCAAAACGGAUUUCCUCCCACAUCUGCUAAUUUGUGGAAAUAAAAUGUGUGAGUCUGAACUCCUCUAAGGAACACAAGUUUCAGAAGGUAGGGGAACUGGGCUCUGAUUCUGUUUUAGACUCUUAAGACACACAAGAGCAGAAUAAAUAAAGGGAAAAAGAAAAAUCUGUGUAGAGUGCAUUCACCUCAGAAAUGCUCCCUCCCUCUUAAAACUGCUUUCUGAAUUCUUCAUGGAGCCUCUGCUUUUUCUGUAGGUCUAAGAAAGGAUGUCCCCAGCAUUCGUCAGCUAGCUUCUGGAUAGAUUUUUGUCUAAUGCGUGUUCUUAAAUUAUUCUCAACUUCAGUUAUCAACUGUUAAAUAAACAGUAGGCAC